rnacentral:lncRNA from 1 species
CAACACAAAAGGCCAAAUAAAGAGUCAUUUACAGCUGGGUGCAGUGGCUUACACCUGUAAUCCUAGUACUUUGGGAGGCUGAGGCAGGAGGAUCACUUGAACCCAGCAGUUCGAGACCAGCCUAGGCAACAUAGCAAGACCCUGUAUCCACAAAAAUAAUUGAAAAAUUAGCCAGGUAUGAUGGUACAUGCCUGUAGUCCCAGCUACCUGGGAGGCUGAGGUGGAUCACUGAGCCCAGAAGAUAGAAACUCAGUGAGCCAUGGUCAUGCCACUGUAUUCCAAUCUGGGUAACACAGAGAGACCUUCUUCCUCAGAAAAAAAAAAGUACUUUCCAUUAGCAUGUACUUGGCAAGUUAUCCUUCGUUUGUUUCUUCAACACCCCAUCAGAAAUCUGAUGUAAAGGCUCUGGUUUUAAGUCAUCGUGCCAGCAGACCUAUAGAAAGAAAGACUCCAGUUCCCUCUGGUUCAAUUUUUGCCUGCAUAAGGAAAUCACAACAGUUAAAUCCUACAGUAGAAAUAACAUCUGCACUU